CGUUACCACUUGACUGGGC
rnacentral:snRNA from 1 species